rnacentral:rRNA from 1 species
GACGAACGCUGGCGGCGUGCUUAAUACAUGCAAGUCGAGCGGACGGACGCUGAUCUUGUUUGGUUGAUGUGUGGCGCGCGCGGGUGUGUCACGUGUGUAUAAUGUACCUGUAUUAGGGGUAUCACUACGGGACUGCGGAGCAUAUCGCGUAGGAGAUUUUGAAGCGUGUUGGUGAAAGGUGAAAUUCGGUGUUUCGGGCUCGUCUCGCGGCUUCUGCGCUUCAUGAGCUAGUUGUGAAGGUAACGGCUUACCAAGGCAACGAGGCAUAGACGACCUGAGAGGGUGAUCGGCCACACUGGAACUGAGACACGGUCCAGACUCCUACGGGAGGCAGCAGUAGGGAAUCUUCCGCAAUGGGCGAAAGCCUGACGGAGCAACGCCGCGUGAGUGAUGAAGGUCCUCGGAUCGUAAAACUCUGUUAUUAGGGAAGAACAUAUGUGUAAGUAACUGUGCACAUCUUGACGGUACCUAAUCAGAAAGCCACGGCUAACUACGUG